CAACCACAGAACCACAAGUUGGGUAGGCUGACAGUGGCAGAAAACUGCGCCCGGCAUAGUGGUCAGCAAGCAGGACGAAUCACACUGACUGCAAACCACAGGGUUUCGCAGAGUGGUGAGCAUCACCAACCCACAGCCAAGACGCCGCUUUUUUUUUUUUUUAAUCUUGAACAAUUUGAAUAUUUGUUUUCUCAAAGGUGAAAGAAAUCAUUGAAUCCCCCGCCUUCAGAAGAGGGUGCAUUUUCAGGAGGAAGCGAUGGCUUCAGACAGCAUAUUUGAGUCAUUUCCUUCAUACCCACAGUGCUUCAUGAGAGAUUAAGUGUGUGGACUGGGCUUGUGUAUCCAGAGCAAGGACUGCAAGAGGAGGCGAGUUUCUAUUGUUUCACAUCAGAUUGAUGUCGAAGUCAAGGAACUCAAAACCUGCUCCCCAAGGAAUGCACAACUUUCUCAUAUUGAGACCCUCAGCUGCUCCUGAUCUUAACAGGGGUCUUUCCACAAACUCUUCAUCUUCCUCUUUGAUAUUUUACCCUCUUAAUCAUUUUAAGUCAACAAUCCGUGACUGACGGUUUUGCUGAUAAAGUACCUUUAUAAUGAUAGACUGGGUACUUAAACUUCCGCCUACAUCUUCUCUAAGUUGGUGACCUAAUUGUAGCUGAUUCUUCCAAUAGAAAUACUCACUUGUUAACCUCAAGUGAUUUCUGGGCAUGGCUGAAAUAAAACAAAUUGCUUUUUAAAGUUACGAUUCCAGAUACUGUGUCUUAUUUUCCAUUGCUUCUUGUCCAUUUUUCCAUGUAGGUUUUAUCUGCUACUUAUAAACCAUGAAAAACAAAUUAUUCCGUUCAAAUCUUUGGAAAGGGCUGUUCACUGGCACAAAAUCGCCUUGUCUGAUACUUUUUCUCGUUUUGGAUUUCUGGAAGGGAAAUCCUCCUUAUGAGGAGACUUAACUUUCCAUCAGUAAUGGGGAAAACUGCUUCUCUCGGGAUAGUGGAGGUAGCUUUAUAGCAGAAAACUCAGCAGAAAUAAAAAUCCACAUAACUUAACGUCUAUCCAAGUCUGUUUCUUUAGUGAUAUUGAUCCCUCUUCUGCCUGUGACACAGGAAAAAAUGAAGGG